UAGUAUCAAAUGAUAGUCACAAGGAAGAUAUUUCAGAAAGUGAGCCCAUCUUAUGCCAGUCUACCACUUUGCAUCAUUCUGAAGAAUCAUCAUCUUCAUGUGAAAUUAUAUCUAUAGCACGGGAUUGCGAUGAUUUAGAAGGUGUUCAAAUCGAUGAAACUUACCAUCUAGUUAAUCCAGAUCAACCUCAAUGCCGUAUUUG
rnacentral:misc_RNA from 1 species